rnacentral:rRNA from 1 species
GUGUCAGCAGCCGCGGUAAUACCGGCAGCCCGAGUGAUGGCCGAUCUUAUUGGGCCUAAAGCGUCCGUAGCUGGCCGCACAAGUCCAUCGGAAAAUCCACCCGCUCAACGGGUGGGCGUCCGGUGGAAACUGUGUGGCUUGGGACCGGAAGGCGCGACGGGUACGUCCGGGGUAGGAGUGAAAUCCCGUAAUCCUGGACGGACCGCCGAUGGCGAAAGCACGUCGCGAGAACGGAUCCGACAGUGAGGGACGAAAGCCAGGGUCUCGAACCGGAU